UUGGCCCUGUGCAACAAAUUUUAAUUUCAUCCAUAGUCUUGGACCAUAUAGUAUAUCAUUAUUACAAUCACUUUAUUUGUCUGUACUCUGUACCAUGAUUUCUUCACCUUCAUUGUUACACGAUCCCACACGCCACGUGGCACCUAGCUAAAAUUAAUCAGAACAUAAUGUGCUUAUACAUAAGUUACAUUCUGUUAUUUUGGUCUGCACACAAAAGAAUUCAAUGCUGAAUUGAAUAAAAAGGAACCAUUAUUAUGCAUUUACCUGUGAAACCAACCAAGUAUAUGGUAUUAUAAACACAAGCGUACAAAAUAGUUUAUUCUAAAAAAACAAAAAAUUCCUUUCUUUUCUUUCUUAAUCUCUUUGCCUUCAUUUCUCUGGUGCUCUCUUGUGCAUGACACCAAAAUUUCGACACUGCUUCAGGGUUAGCCUUUUCCAAAGGAAGAAGAAAAAGCAGUGAGGUUUUCAAAAGAAACUACACUACAUGUUACUCAAAGAUCUAAUGGAAGAAAAACAGUUAAACCUUAGCCAGCCACUUCUAUCGGUGCGGCGAUACUCAUCGACAAAGUCCUCCAAAAGGAGCAAGAGAGAUAGCAAUUCAUCAACAAGAUUACCCUCUCCACCUUUAUACAAAUCAGAUUUAAAGUCAGGUCCAGUUAGAACUGCAGGUGCUGUUCCAUUUGUGUGGGAAAAAGCUCCUGGAAAACCAAAAGAACAGAGCAAUUCACAAAAACAUGGUCUAAUCACUCCAAAUCCUCCACCAGGGAAGGUUUCAAAGGUAAAUAGGAAGCAAUGUUUUGAUGCAGUUUCGACUUGUGGAAGCAAUAAUGUUUCUGAUUCUGUAAGGAUUUCGGACAAAGAGGAAGUUAAGGAAAACGAAAAGGUAGCAGGUUCUGAUUCAGAUGAUGAGAAUUUUGUAGAUGCUCUUGAGACACUUUCAAGGACUGAAUCAUUCUUCAUGAGCACUACUAGUGUUUUUGAUGAUCAAGAGGUCCUGGAACAAUCUAGAAGCUUAUCAUCAUUGUCCAGCAAUCGCGAUUUCAUAAUCGACAGGUUCUUGCCGGCAGCAAAGGCCUUGACAUCCGGAACACAGCCAUAUGCAUCAUUCUUCAGGAAGACAAUUGUAGGACAAGAACAACAACGAAAAGAGGUGAAGAAAGUUUUGAGACCAGAAAUUUCCCUGCAUCUUAGUCAGCAUAGGCCUAAAGCUCUGCCUCGUUAUGGCGAAGAUAAAACCGGAGACUGCAAUGGAGCCGAAAACUUCACGGCCACUGGUUGUGGAUUGUUUCCUAAGCUAUGCCUUCUUAGUCCAAUUGGAGGAUCAAGAAAUGAGGAUAAGACUCAAAGUUCUGCAGUUCAUGGAAUGCAAGCAAAAUCAGUUGCUUCCCAUUGUGAAACUAUAAAGGAGCAUGCUAAAACUUCUUUUCCUUGGAAAAAGUCAUUAGAUUCUCAACCUGGUUUCACAGAAGUAAAGGACAUCUUGUGUGUUUCUGAGAAAUCUAAACAUGGAACUGAUCCACAUCAUUGUAGAGGCUGCAAUAAACCAUCAUCAACCAGUGAACUCCCUGUGGUUGAGAAAACUCUAUAUGUUGAUUCUUUGCGCAAGGUUAAGUCGCAUUCAAGUUCAAUCUCUUCUGAAGUAAAGAAUCAAACCAUCCACAAAGGAGAUAGUUCUAAAAAUUCUAGUAGUGAUAUGAACAUAAUAGAAAUGACAAAACAUUCCAAGAAGUUGAACUCAACAGAAGUUGCUACCAAAGUUGGAGAAGAUGGGAAAAUUGACUUAGAAGGCCAAUGUGUUAUUCAGUUAGGCCAAAAAGAAACAGAUGAUGAUGAUGAUUCAAGCUAUAUGCAGGUUUCACUUGAACUUCCUUCACUGAAAGCUCCAUCAGAGUCUUGGCUUAAGCGCACUCUACCUACAAUUUCCACAAGCAACUUGCAAUCAAGAACAAACAACAUUGCUACAAACACUUGUGCAAGAAGUCAAACUCAUAAGACAGCUUCAUCAAUGUAUCCUAAGUGGGAAACAAUUGUUAAAUCCUCUAAUGUACAUCAUGGACAUCAGAGGCUCCCUAAGGAACUACUGACAAGCACUCCAGAAGCUUGAACAUCAUGGUAAAAUCUGAUUUUUGCAUCAGUAAUAUGAGUCUCUUUCACAUCUCAACUGUAAAAAACAAUAGAACAUGGUUACUUUUUGUACAUUGUAAAUGAAACAAAUUGUUCCAAUAACACAGAAAAUGAUUGUCCUUGUAAAAUUACAUCAAUCUUUAACAUGAUCAAGCCAAAAGGCCAUUGUUUCUUCCAAAUUAGUUCAUAGUUUUAAAUAUUAUAAUGGAUUCUUUCAUUUACCCUUGAUUGGUUGAGACAAAAGUUGCCUAUAUAUUAAUAUAUGUAUAUAGUUUGAUGGGUUCUACUUCCUCAUAACAUUGCAACGUGGUUCCCAUGAUUCAUCGACCAUUUUGGAGAGAAAAGGAAAAAAGAAAAAGUUGUAACACGUUACAAAGAGUGCUCCAUUCACCGCCAAAUGUUAGCAUCUAAAUCCUCAAUCCUAGAUAUGUUGCCUCACACAAUCAUACAUUGAAUACCAAAACACCUUUGUGGCUACUUUUAGGAAAUGGUAGCUAAGCAAACUUUGUGGUUAUCGAGGACGCAUCAAGAUCUGGAGAAUUCUGCAAGAGAAGGUUGGAUUUGGAUCGCUGAAAGAUGAGCAGAGAAUUGGUCGAAAUUGUUGAUGGUACGCAUAAUUCUGGAGGAGCCUUAUCUCUAUUGGGAAUGUUCUUUCUCUCGCUUUGGAUCAUAUCCAUGGUAAUAUUUUCCUGUGGUGAUGAUGAUGACGAUCCCCGCCGCCGCAGAGGCGGAAGAUCUGGUCUUAGUGGACUUGGCGGAGACGGUGGUGCCGGUGGUGGUACAGAUGGUGGCGGCGGCGGAGGUGGUGGCGGCGGCUUCGGUGGUGGCUAGAGCAAUAUAACAGAAACAAUCAAGUUAUUUUCUCCUUUGAUGGUGUUGGUUACAUAGAUCAAAGAAUGUUUUUAUCACUGGAACGUAAGUUCUUUAAUUGCUUUGGUUUUAUCUUCAUAUUCUUUUAUGUCUAUUUAUUCAGUUUCCUAUCAUCUGCCAACACAAUCCUUGUGAAAUUCACCCAAUCCUUAAUCUACACUUGACAAACUAAAUAACAAAAAAUUUGGUCAUUUGUUCUUUCUUCACAAUGGAAGCUACUUUAUCGGAGGUGAACUUAUGCAUAUUAAGUGUAUCUAUCGUUAUACAAUUUUACUAAGAAAAUAGAGCUGAUUAUAGAGCGUGUACAUUGUUAAUUGGCACUUGAAACUAAUGAAAAUAGACUAUGAUUAUCAUAUUA